rnacentral:rRNA from 1 species
AACGAACGCUGGCGGCAGGCCUAACACAUGCAAGUCGAGCGGGGUGAGGUGCUUCGGUACUGAUCCUAGCGGCGGACGGGUGAGUAAUGCUUAGGAAUCUGCCAUUUAGUGGGGGACAACCUUCCGAAAGGAAUGCUAAUACCGCAUACGUCCUACGGGAGAAAGCAGGGGAUCUUCGGACCUUGCGCUAAAUGAUGAACCUAAGUCGGAUUAGCUAGUUGGUGGGGUAAAGGCCUACCAAGGCGACGAUCUGUAGCGGGUCUGAGAGGAUGAUCCGCCACACUGGGACUGAGCCACGGCCCAGACUCCUACGGGAGGCAGCAGUGGGGAAUAUUGGACAAUGGGCGGAAGCCUGAUCCAGCCAUGCCGCGUGUGUGAAGAAGGCCUUUUGGUUGUAAAGCACUUUAAGCGAGGAGGAGGCUUACCUGGUUAAUACCUGGGAUAAGUGGACGUUACUCGCAGAAUAAGCACCGGCUAACUCUGUGCCAGCCGCCGCAGUAACAC